rnacentral:rRNA from 1 species
GAUGAACGCUAGCGGCAGGCCUAAUACAUGCAAGCCGAACGGCAAGCCUUGUAGCAAUACGAGGCCUAGAGUGGCGCAAGGGUGCGUAACACGUAUGCAAUCUGCCCACAACAGGAGGACAGCUCCCCGAAAGGGGAAUUAACCCUCCAUGGGACCACACGAGGGCAUCCGAGAGUGGUUAAACCAAAAGGGGUUGUGGAUGGGCAUGCGGUUGAUUAGCUGGUUGGUAGGGAACGGCCUACCAAGGCGAUGAUCAAUAGGGGAACUGAGAGGUUUGUCCCCA